GACGAACGCUGGCGGCGUGCUUAACACAUGCAAGUCGAACGGAGUGGCGAACGGGUGAGUAACACGUGGGUGACCUGCCCUGCACUUCGGGAUAAGCCUGGGAAACUGGGGCUAAUACCGGAUAGUGUGGGAUGGGCGCGGGGCCUAUCAGCUUGUUGGUGGGGUAAUGGCCUACCAAGGCGGCGACGGGUAGCCGGCCUGGGAGGGUGGACGGCCACAUUGGGACUGCGACACGGCCCAGACGCGUACGGGGGGCAGCAGUGGGGAAUAUUGCACAAUGGGCGGAAGCCUGAUGCAGAGACGCCGGGUGGGGGAUGACGGCCUUGGGGUUGUAAACUCCUUUCACCAUAGACGCGGUAGAUGGAGAAGAAGCACCGGCUAACUACGUGCCAGCAGCCGCGGUAAUAC
rnacentral:rRNA from 1 species